rnacentral:tRNA from 1 species
GCCGCGGUGGCGGAACUGGCAGACGCGCACGUUUCAGGGACGUGUUCCUUUUAGGAUUGGAGGUUCGACUCCUCUCCGCGGCA